rnacentral:rRNA from 1 species
GAUGAACGCUGGCGGCGUGCUUAACACAUGCAAGUCGAACGAAGCAUUUAGGACAGAUUACUUCGGUUUGAAGUUCUUUAUGACUGAGUGGCGGACGGGUGAGUAACGCGUGGGUAACCUGCCUUGUACUGGGGGAUAGCAGCUGGAAACGGCUGGUAAUACCGCAUAAGCGCACAAUGUUGCAUGACAUGGUGUGAAAAACUCCGGUGGUAUAAGAUGGACCCGCGUCUGAUUAGCUAGUUGGUGAGAUAACAGCCCACCAAGGCGACGAUCAGUAGCCGACCUGAGGGGGUGACCGGCCACAUUGGGACUGAGACACGGCCCAGACUCCUACGGGAGGCAGCAGUGGGGAAUAUUGCACAAUGGAGGAAACUCUGAUGCAGCGACGCCGCGUGAGUGAAGAAGUAAUUCGUUAUGUAAAGCUCUAUCAGCAGGGAAGAUAGUGACGGUACCUGACUAAGAAGCUCCGGCUAAAUACGUG